GAGUUUGAACCUGGCUCAGGAUGAACGCUGGCGGCGUGCCUAAUACAUGCAAGUCGAGCGAACCACUUCGGUGGUGAGCGGCGAACGGGUGAGUAACACGUAGGUGAUCUGCCCAUCAGACGGGGACAACGAUUGGAAACGAUCGCUAAUACCGGAUAGGACGAAAGUUUAAAGGUGCUUCUGGCACCGCUGAUGGAUGAGCCUGCGGCGCAUUAGCUAGUUGGUAGGGUAAAGGCCUACCAAGGCGACGAUGCGUAGCCGACCUGAGAGGGUGAACGGCCACACUGGGACUGAGACACGGCCCAGACUCCUACGGGAGGCAGCAGUAGGGAAUCUUCGGCAAUGGGCGAAAGCCUGACCGAGCAACGCCGCGUGAAUGAUGAAGGCCUUCGGGUUGUAAAAUUCUGUUAUAAGGGAAGAACGACUUUAGUAGGAAAUGGCUAGAGUGUGACGGUACCUUAUGAGAAAGCCACGGCUAACUACGUGCCAGCAGCCGCGGUAAUACGUAGGUGGCGAGCGUUAUCCGGAAUUAUUGGGCGUAAAGAGCGCGCAGGUGGUUGAUUGAGUCUGAUGUGAAAGCCCACGGCUUAACCGUGGAGGGUCAUUGGAAACUGGUCGACUUGAGUGCAGAAGA
rnacentral:rRNA from 1 species